rnacentral:rRNA from 1 species
AGCUCCAAUAGCACACAUUAAUGUUGCUGCAGUUAAAAAGCUCGUAGUUGAGCAUCGGGCGAGAGCGCGGCGUGUGGCUUCGGCCUCGACGCCGCGGGUCGAGUCUUACUUCUGGGGAAGCGGCGUGUCCUUUGCUGGGCGCGCCGGGGAACCAGGACGAUUACCUUGAGGAAAACAGAGUGUUCAAAGCAGGCUUCUUGCUUGGAUACAUUAGCAUGGAAUAAUAGAAUAGGACGUUGGUUCUAUUGUGUUGGUUUGAGGACCAGUGUCAUGAUGAAUAGGGACAGUUGGGGGCAUUAGUAUUCCGGCGUCAGAGGUGAAAUUCUUGGAUUGCCGGAAGACUGACUAGUGCGAAAGCAUUUGCCAAGGAUGUUUUCA